rnacentral:rRNA from 1 species
UACAGAGGUCUCGAGCGUUAGGCGGAAUCACUGGGCUUAAAGCGUGUGUAGGCGGAUUGCUAAGUACCUUGUGAAAUCCCACGGCUUAACCGUGGAACUGCUUGGUAUACUGGCUGUCUUGAGCCACUUAGGGGCAACCGGAACAAACGGUGGAGCGGUGAAAUGCGUAGAUAUCGGGAAGAACACCCGUGGCGAAGGCGGCUCUCUGGGACGGUACUGACGCUGAGACGCGAAAGCGUGGGGAGCGAACAGG